AAUAAAUAGAUAAUUUAUUUUGAUAAAUAAAAUUCGAUAAUAGUAUUGAUAUAAAAGCUAGUAGCUAUUGUUUAAGUUUAUAAAACCUAUCCUUCUAAAAUACACAAGUUCUAGUUUACUCAAGCUCUUGCGAAAAAGAAUUAUCAAAUUCGAUUUAUAUGAUGAAGAAAGCUCUAUUUUUCUUAUUGGUGCUUACCGUGUUUGUGGCGACGUCUGAAGCAGGAUUGUGCAACUGGGUUUGCAGAAAGAUCUGCGACACCAAAGAUUACUGCAAAACACUUUGCACAUUCCUCUGCACUGAUCCCGAUGGAGUUAAAGCCUACAAGUUCCCUGACACAUAUCCUGAAAAAUAUAAAGAUCCACUAGAUGCAUAGAAAAAGGUCAUAAUAUAAUGGACCGAUGAGAAGAUGCGUUAAAUUUCUGAAGCUGCCAAAAAUUCAUUUUAAUGUAAUUAAAUUGAUCAAAUUUUGUAAAAAAAAAAUGAAUAAAUGAAUACACUUAAUA